GUUGCUUUUCGGCUUUUUGGUUAAGAUCAAGUAUGGUAUCUAUUCUUAUUAAUUUAAUAUCUGAUAUGUUCUGUAAACGAAAAUGUUGUUUCAAGCAGAAUUUUUUUUUAAGACAGGGAGCUGGAGUAGGAGUUUGCUCCUAUCAACCUGAUACUGUAGUAUCUUCAAGAAUGAUGCCUUUGCU